rnacentral:tRNA from 1 species
GCCCGCGGUGGCCCAGAUGGAUAGAGCGUCUGCCUUGUAAGCACGAGAUCCCGGGUUCGAGUCCCGGUCGGGGCA